AGGAAAGCUAUUAAGGUAAGGAGUUUUUCCCAUACACUCAUGCUAUAUAAGUUUGUGUUGUGAGAUAAUAGUAAAACAUUUAUCUAUUGAGAGAGAAAAUUAAUUAAAAUGAAACUAAUAAGAAAGAAAUUCUUAUGAUGUUUUGUGUUUACUAUGCUUAGGCCCGGCCCAGAAGCACGGGCAACAAGCCAUGUGGCCGCGGGCCUCCUAAAUAUAAAGGCCUCAAAAAAAAAAUGUAUAGGGUAAUAGUAUUAGUAAAAUUGAGGGCGCAAACAUUAAAGUUGAGAAGGAUCCUAAUAUGCUUGAGCAUCCGCCCAUAAGUUUUUUUUCUCUUAUUUGAUCAAGAUUUUGAGAAUAAUGUUAAUAGAAUGACGGUUAAUGCAUGGAAGUCCCUAUCUAAUGAAGUAAGUUCAUGACUUUAUUUUAUUUUAUUUUGAAAGGUUCAUGACUUUAUUAUAACCCUGCAGUAGUAUAAAGUUGAUGUAUAAUUGAAAUAGGAUAAAAUACAUUAUUUGGAAAAAGCAGCAAUUACCAUGAUAUAGGUAGGUCAUUGUGAAUUAGUAUACGUUAUUACCAUAAUUUUUUCUUUUUAUUUAAGGUGUUAGAACAAAAAAGAUGAAAAGUUUAGAAUAAUAAUUAAGGUGUGUGGGUGACAAAGUAAGUACCUUGAUAGCGUAAUCGAUU
rnacentral:lncRNA from 1 species